CCUACGGGAGGCAGCAGUGGGGAAUAUUGCACAAUGGGGGGAACCCUGAUGCAGCGACGCCGCGUGGGUGAAGGAGUAUUUCGGUAUGUAAAGCCCUAUCAGCAGGGAAGAACAAUGACGGUACCUGACUAAGAAGCACCGGCUAAAUACGUGCCAGCAGCCGCGGUAAUACGUAGGGGGCAAGCGUUAUCCGGAUUUACUGGGUGGAAAGGGAGCGUAAACGGCAGUGCAAGUCUGGAGUGAAAGGCGGGGGCUCAACCCCCGGACUGCUCUGGAAACUGUACGGCUGGAGUGCAGGAGAGGUAAGUGGAAUUCCUAGUGUAGCGGUGAAAUGCGUAGAUAUUAGGAGGAACACCAGUGGCGAAGGCGGCUUACUGGACUGUAACUGACGUUGAGGCUCGAAAGCGUGGGGAGCAAACAGGAUUAGAUACCCGAGUAGUC
rnacentral:rRNA from 1 species